GCGAAAGUAGCUCAGUUGGUAGAGCACAACCUUGCCAAGGUUGGGGUCGCGAG
rnacentral:tRNA from 1 species